rnacentral:sRNA from 1 species
UGCAUCUGGAGCCAGCGAGGAUGAGAACCUCCGGGGGCGGGAGGUUCGACCCGAGCGAAGCGAGAGAACGUUGCGCGAGCAACGGCCCGCAGG